GGAAGUAAAAGUCGUAAUAAGGUCUCCGUUGGUGAACCAGCGGAGGGAUCAUUACAGGACUCGCAAGACUCCUUCACCCUGUGAACCUCACUACAAGCACGUUGCUUCGGCGGGUGUCCCGGCGGGGGUUUUCCCUCGCCGGGGCGCACAGCCCGCCGGCAGCCUACUAUACUCUGUCUCUUUGCGUUGGCAUCUCGAGAAAAAACAAAUAAGUUAAAACUUUCAACAACGGAUCUCUUGGUUCUG
rnacentral:misc_RNA from 1 species